rnacentral:rRNA from 1 species
AUUGAACGCUGGCGGCAGGCCUAACACAUGCGAGUCGAGCGGAUGAAGGGAGCUUGCUCCUGGAUUCAGCGGCGGACGGGUUAGUAAUGCCUAGGAAUCUGCCUGGUAGUGGGGGAUAACGUCCGGAAACGGGCGCUAAUACCGCAUACGUCCUGAGGGAGAAAGUGGGGAUCUUCGGACCUCACGCUAUCAGAUGAGCCUAGGUCGGAUUAGCUAGUUGGUGGGGUAAAGGCCUACCAAGGCGACGAUCCGUAACUGGUCUGAGAGGAUGAUCAGUCACACUGGAACUGAGACACGGUCCAGACUCCUACGGGAGGCAGCAGUGGGGAAUAUUGGACAAUGGGCGAAAGCCUGAUCCAGCCAUGCCGCGUGUGUGAAGAAGGUCUUCGGAUUGUAAAGCACUUUAAGUUGGGAGGAAGGGCAGUAAGUUAAUACCUUGCUGUUUUGACGUUACCAACAGAAUAAGCACCGGCUAACUUCGUG